GGGUUGUGAGGUUAAGCGACUAAGCGUACACGGUGGAUGCCCUGGCAGUCAGAGGCGAUGAAGGACGUGCUAAUCUGCGAAAAGCGUCGGUAAGGUGAUAUGAACCGUUAUAACCGGCGAUGUCCGAAUGGGGAAACCCAGUGUGAUUCGUCACACUAUCGUUAACUGAAUACAUAGGUUAACGAGGCGAACCGGGGGAACUGAAACAUCUAAGUACCCCGAGGAAAAGAAAUCAACCGAGAUUCCCCCAGUAGCGGCGAGCGAACGGGGAGCAGCCCAGAGUCUGAAUCAGCUUGUGUGUUAGUGGAACGGUCUGGAAAGUCCGACGGUACAGGGUGAUAGUCCCGUACACCAAAAUGCACAGGCUGUGAACUCGAAGAGUAGGGCGGGACACGUGGUAUCCUGUCUGAAUAUGGGGGGACCAUCCUCCAAGGCUAAAUACUCCUGACUGACCGAUAGUGAACCAGUACCGUGAGGGAAAGGCGAAAAGAACCCCGGCGAGGGGAGUGAAAAAGAACCUGAAACCGUGUACGUACAAGCAGUGGGAGCACCUUCGGGUGUGACUGCGUACCUUUUGUAUAAUGGGUCAGCGACUUAUAUUCUGUAGCAAGGUUAACCGUAUAGGGGAGCCGCAGGGAAACCGAGUCUUAACUGGGCGUUAAGUUGCAGGGUAUAGACCCGAAACCCGGUGAUCUAGCCAUGGGCAGGUUGAAGGUUGGGUAACACUAACUGGAGGACCGAACCGACUAAUGUUGAAAAAUUAGCGGAUGACUUGUGGCUGGGGGUGAAAGGCCAAUCAAACCGGGAGAUAGCUGGUUCUCCCCGAAAGCUAUUUAGGUAGCGCCUCGUGAAUUCAUCUUCGGGGGUAGAGCACUGUUUCGGCUAGGGGGUCAUCCCGACUUACCAACCCGAUGCAAACUACGAAUACCGAAGAAUGUUAUCACGGGAGACACACGGCGGGUGCUAACGUCCGUCGUGAAGAGGGAAACAACCCAGACCGCCAGCUAAGGUCCCAAAGUCAUGGUUAAGUGGGAAACGAUGUGGGAAGGCACAGACAGCCAGGAUGUUGGCUUAGAAGCAGCCAUCAUUUAAAGAAAGCGUAAUAGCUCACUGGUCGAGUCGGCCUGCGCGGAAGAUGUAACGGGGCUAAACCAUGCACCGAAGCUGCGGCAGCGACACUAUGUGUUGUUGGGUAGGGGAGCGUUCUGUAAGCCUGCGAAGGUGUGCUGUGAGGCAUGCUGGAGGUAUCAGAAGUGCGAAUGCUGACAUAAGUAACGAUAAAGCGGGUGAAAAGCCCGCUCGCCGGAAGACCAAGGGUUCCUGUCCAACGUUAAUCGGGGCAGGGUGAGUCGACCCCUAAGGCGAGGCCGAAAGGCGUAGUCGAUGGGAAACAGGUUAAUAUUCCUGUACUUGGUGUUACUGCGAAGGGGGGACGGAGAAGGCUAUGUUAGCCGGGCGACGGUUGUCCCGGUUUAAGCAUGUAGGCUGGUUGUCCAGGCAAAUCCGGAUAAUCAAGGCUGAGGUGUGAUGACGAGGCACUACGGUGCUGAAGUAACAAAUGCCCUGCUUCCAGGAAAAGCCUCUAAGCAUCAGGUAACAUCAAAUCGUACCCCAAACCGACACAGGUGGUCAGGUAGAGAAUACCAAGGCGCUUGAGAGAACUCGGGUGAAGGAACUAGGCAAAAUGGUGCCGUAACUUCGGGAGAAGGCACGCUGGUGUGUAGGUGAAGUCCCUGCGGAUGGAGCUGAGACCAGUCGAAGAUACCAGCUGGCUGCAACUGUUUAUUAAAAACACAGCACUGUGCAAACACGAAAGUGGACGUAUACGGUGUGACGCCUGCCCGGUGCCGGAAGGUUAAUUGAUGGGGUUAUCCGUAAGGAGAAGCUCUUGAUCGAAGCCCCGGUAAACGGCGGCCGUAACUAUAACGGUCCUAAGGUAGCGAAAUUCCUUGUCGGGUAAGUUCCGACCUGCACGAAUGGCGUAAUGAUGGCCAGGCUGUCUCCACCCGAGACUCAGUGAAAUUGAACUCGCUGUGAAGAUGCAGUGUACCCGCGGCAAGACGGAAAGACCCCGUGAACCUUUACUAUAGCUUGACACUGAACAUUGAGCCUUGAUGUGUAGGAUAGGUGGGAGGCUUUGAAGCGUGGACGCCAGUCUGCGUGGAGCCAACCUUGAAAUACCACCCUUUAAUGUUUGAUGUUCUAACGUUGGCCCCUGACCGGGGUUGCGGACAGUGUCUGGUGGGUAGUUUGACUGGGGCGGUCUCCUCCCAAAGCGUAACGGAGGAGCACGAAGGUUAGCUAAUCCUGGUCGGACAUCAGGAGGUUAGUGCAAUGGCAUAAGCUAGCUUGACUGCGAGCGUGACGGCGCGAGCAGGUGCGAAAGCAGGUCAUAGUGAUCCGGUGGUUCUGAAUGGAAGGGCCAUCGCUCAACGGAUAAAAGGUACUCCGGGGAUAACAGGCUGAUACCGCCCAAGAGUUCAUAUCGACGGCGGUGUUUGGCACCUCGAUGUCGGCUCAUCACAUCCUGGGGCUGAAGUAGGUCCCAAGGGUAUGGCUGUUCGCCAUUUAAAGUGGUACGCGAGCUGGGUUUAGAACGUCGUGAGACAGUUCGGUCCCUAUCUGCCGUGGGCGCUGGAGAAUUGAGGGGGGCUGCUCCUAGUACGAGAGGACCGGAGUGGACGCAUCACUGGUGUUCGGGUUGUCAUGCCAAUGGCACUGCCCGGUAGCUAAAUGCGGAAGAGAUAAGUGCUGAAAGCAUCUAAGCACGAAACUUGCCCCGAGAUGAGUUCUCCCUGAGACUUUAAGUCUCCUGAAGGAACGUUGAAGACGACGACGUUGAUAGGCCGGGUGUGUAAGCGCAGCGAUGCGUUGAGCUAACCGGUACUAAUGAACCGUGAGGCUUAACCUUACAACGCCGAAG
rnacentral:rRNA from 1 species